UACGAAGGGGGCUAGCGUUGCUCGGAAUCACUGGCGUAAAGCGCACGUAGGCGGACUCUUAAGUCGGUGGUGAAAUCCUGGAGCUCAACUCCAGAACUGCCUUUGAUACUGAAAGUCUUGAGUAUGGGAGAGGUGAGUGGAACUGCGAGUGUAGAGGUGAAAUUCGUAGAUAUUCGCAAGAACACCAGUGGCGAAGGCGGCUACCUGGACAAUUGCUGACGCUCAGGCACGAAAGCGUGGGGAGCAAAGGG
rnacentral:rRNA from 1 species